GAUGAACGCUGGCGGCGUGCUUAACACAUGCAAGUCGAACGGAAAGGCUCCUGCUUGCAGGGGUACUCGAGUGGCGAACGGGUGAGUAACACGUGGGUGAUCUGCUCUGCACUUCGGGAUAUGCCUGGGAAAGUGGGUCUAAUACCGGAUAGGACGAUGGUUUGGAUGCCAUUGUGGAAAGUUUUUCGGUGUGGGAUGAGCUCGCGGCCUAUCAGCUUGUUGGUGGGGUAAUGGCCUACCAAGGCGUCGACGGGUAGCCGGCCUGAGAGGGUGUACGGCCACAUUGGGACUGAGAUACGGCCCAGACUCCUACGGGAGGCAGCAGUGGGGAAUAUUGCACAAUGGGCGGAAGCCUGAUGCAGCGACGCCGCGUGGGGGAUGACGGCCUUCGGGUUGUAAACUGCUUUCGCCAGGGACGAAGCGCAAGUGACGGUACCUGGAGAAGAAGCACCGGCUAACUACGUG
rnacentral:rRNA from 1 species